rnacentral:rRNA from 1 species
GAUGAACGCUGGCGGCGUGCCUAACACAUGCAAGUCGAACGAAGCUUGACGGAUGAUUUCUUCGGAAUGAAACCAGAUAUGACUUAGUGGCGGACGGGUGAGUAACACGUGAGCAACCUGCCUUUCAGAGGGGGAUAACGGCUGGAAACGGUCGCUAAUACCGCAUGAUGUGUUCGGAUGGCAUCAUCUGAACAUCAAAGAUUUAUCGCUGAAAGAUGGGCUCGCGUCUGAUUAGAUAGUUGGUGGAGUAACGGCCUACCAAGUCUACGAUCAGUAGCCGGACUGAGAGGUUGAACGGCCACAUUGGGACUGAGAUACGGCCCAGACUCCUACGGGAGGCAGCAGUGGGGAAUAUUGCACAAUGGGGGAAACCCUGAUGCAGCAACGCCGCGUGAAGGAUGACGGUUUUCGGAUUGUAAACUUCUUUUCUUAGUGACGAAGACAGUGACGGUAGCUAAGGAAUAAGCAUCGGCUAACUACGUG